GACGAACGCUGGCGGCGUGCCUAAUACAUGCAAGUCGAGCGAAGUUUUUCUGGUGCUUGCACCGGAAAAACUUAGCGGCGAACGGGUGAGUAACACGUAAAGAACCUGCCUUAUAGACUGGGACAACUAUUGGAAACGAUAGCUAAUACCGGAUAACAGCAUUAACUGCAUGGUUGAUGUUUGAAAGUUGGUUUUGCUAACACUAUGAGAUGGCUUUGCGGUGCAUUAGCUAGUUGGUGGGGUAAAGGCCUACCAAGGCGACGAUGCAUAGCCGACCUGAGAGGGUGAUCGGCCACACUGGGACUGAGAUACGGCCCAGACUCCUACGGGAGGCAGCAGUAGGGAAUCUUCCGCAAUGGGCGAAAGCCUGACGGAGCAACGCCGCGUGAGUGAAGAAGGAUUUCGGUUCGUAAAGCUCUGUUGUUAGGGAAGAAUGAUUGUGUAGUAACUAUACACAGUAGAGACGGUACCUAACCAGAAAGCCACGGCUAACUACGUG
rnacentral:rRNA from 1 species